rnacentral:tRNA from 1 species
CGGGGCGUAGCGCAGCCUGGUAGCGCGUCUGCUUUGGGAGCAGUAGGUCGCACGUUCGAAUCGUGUCGCCCCGACCA